CAAAGCCCAACCCAUUGAGAGGCAAAGCCAGCAACACUCAAGGGGCUAUUUUUUGCCCUGCCGCACUAAAUAAGGUCAGAGCGUGAAGGAAGUGGGUGAAGGGCCAGAGGGACUUUGCUCGGCCUUUACCCCAGGGGUAUAAAAGCCUCAGGGCAGUGGGAGGCUCUACCGAUCACUCUUAACUCUCAACACCCACCCUGUGUGUACCAUUAACACAUUGCUUUAGAUUAUUAUUUUUUUAUUUUUUUUAUUUUUUUUUUAGAUCAUCACAGUCAUGUCUGGCUGCUUUGUAUCUAAUGCUAAUUGAUUUUUUUUCCUGAGGUCCGCUGUGGUGACGAAUUUUGAUGGCAUUAUUAACCAGGCUGACCCACUUAUUUUUGGCUUUUGGGAUGGACAGGAGUGUGUGACAGUAUGGAAUAUAACUUAUAGACCAGUUUGAUGAGAUCCCAGGGAAUAAAGACAGAAAGAAAAGCCAUGUCUAAGCUGCAUCUUUGUGGUGCUGUUUCUGCAUUUUUUUCUCUCUCUCUCCUAAUGUCAGCACACUGUCCGUACUGUCUCCUACUCCUGUUUCAGAUCCCACAGAAUGUAUCUCAGAGAAUCUGUUUUUCAUAGGACAGGUGGGAGGAUGGGGGUGGGGUUUUUGCUAAAAGUACCAUGAUGCAUUGCCUAUCAGACAUGCCCAUACUGUGAUGAGAUGGGCUGGAGGCCUGUGAUUGUCAAGGUUAUUUUUUAAUCUACCUUGCUCUGUUCCUCCAGCCUUUCUAUUUUGUUUCAUUUCAACUUUUUUCCCCUGUGCUCUAUAUGAAGAAGAAAGACACCUACAAUGUCACUGGCUCCUUUUUUCCUUCUCUCUCUCUCUCUCUCUCUCUCUCUCUCUCUCUCUCUCUCUCUCUCUCUCUCCCCUUCUCUCUGCUCUCAUCCUUAAACUCUCAAACGCUGAUUCAGCUGCUGGUAUACAGACGAUCCUGCUGCCAUCCCCAUUCAGUACGGCCUCUCUUGGUAAGUGAGUGCGUAUGUGUGAAUGCAUGUAUGGAACGCGUGUUUGUAGGUGAACACUCUUCAUCUUGUCUUGUCUCUACUGCUGCAUGUCUGUGUUUAUGUAUGUGUGAAUAUGCAGCCAGAGCAGCGCUGAGCUCUCUGCUUUGGCAUAUUGCUCCUGUCAAAGUUGCUUUAGUGCUAGCACUAGUGGAGAUGCUAGCACCCUUAUUAUACUACUGCAUCACACUACAACCUGUGCUAGGUUAUGCCAGCACAAGGAGCUGAUGCAAUUUGUGAAGUUUGACAGUGACAGAGUUUUUUUUAUUAUUGUUUUAGAGUUUUAGAUUAUUUUUUUUGCACAAUUUUUGCUGUUGUAUUUUUGCUGUUGUGUAAAAAAAAUUACAUUUAUUUUUAGGAUAAGAAAUAUUAGUAUAAAUAUUUUAUUAGCAUAAAUAUUAGUGUUACAGCAGGGCAGGGACAGAAUGUAGGGUACUUUGUCUUUACUCACUUUCUGUCUUUGAGAUCACAAUUCCAAAGUGAUCCUUUCAGAGAGAUGUAAGUAGGGACAGUCAGUGAUGAUGAGACAGAAAGGGACUGACUCACAUAACCUUGACCUCUCUAUGGGACAUAAAGGCCAGUCAGCUCUCUACCUGCUAAUUUUACCCCGUUGGCAUGGUGGUGACCCAGGCCAUGUUUAAAUGCAGACUGAACCAGAGCUUGGAGGAUCAGGUGACAGUUGGACUGGUCUCAGAUUGAACAGCUGCUGAAGGCGGAGGACUGUGGUGUGGGGAGCUCAGGAUUGGCUAGUGCAGGACAGGAAUGCUACACCUGUUCCUAAAGUGUGUGUGUGUGUGUGUGUGUGUGUGUGUGUGUGUGUGUGUGUGUGUGUGUGUGUGUGUGUGUUCUGACAAACAUAUUUCCAAGUAUUGGUUCCAUCUAUAGUGUAGGGAUUGAAAGCUCAUAUUAGAAGUUGGCUGUGCACAAGAGAGAGAAAGAGGGUGGGGGAGACCUGGAUUUACACAACUGGUAGAAUCAAAGAAGGACGGAUGAAAAAUAAAGGCGGGUGAAUGCGGGAGAAGGAAGGAGUAGUGAUUUAUGAUGACUUUCAGUUUAAUUACAGAGAAGCUGCUAUAGGGAGAGACAACUAUAGGCAGUCAGCCAUUAGCCACUGGAUGCUGACUUCUGCUGGUGUCAGUAAACUACUUCAUCAAGUAUGGAUCAUUUAUAAAAUGCUUGUUUGUUAAGCAAUCUGGUUAUGUGGACUGGAACAGGCUAUGCGGUCAGAUUAUUUCGCAGACACAGAAAAGUACACAUACUAUAUCUAUUUAAAUGUUGAUGUGAUAAUGACAGCUCCAUCUAUCCACAUUUUAAUAGAGUCAUGUAAUGGAAAAAAGCAAUGUUGUAGUUUACUGUGGGGUUCAAAUGACAGAUGUAAAUGACAGAUAGAAGGAGGUAUAUUCUCAUAGAUAGUUGUGUGUAUUCUGUUUGUUGUGUAUAUAGGUAAUUGGUGCAUAUUAUUUUGGCUGAUUUUUAUGGCUUACACUGAAAGCAUACGGUAAUAAAUGAUCUCAGAUAAUAUAUGAUCUCAGGUAAUAUAUUGUGUUAUUUAAUACUUAAGUAAUUGAUUAUGAGCUUCCAUGUGUGUUUCUCCUUAAGUAAGUGGAAAAAAAAUUGUGGGUCGUUGUAUGUGUAAUUAUAUUAUGGUGAUAACUUUAUAUUAUAUUGCAUAGUCUGCAAUAUAUGGUGAUUUGGGGACAAACCUGGGGAUAGUUAAACAUCUGCUUCAUAUUUGCUCAAUUAAACAACAUUCAGAACUACUAUCAGUGUUUAAUAUAAGUGUUUCCUUGUUAGACAUUUUAAUUACCAGAUUAUUGUCUUUGUAUGUACAUAAAGAAAAAGCAGUCUAAUGUAGAUAUCUAAUUAGUAACAAUUUGUAUAAAUAUGAUUUGGAUACUUAAUAUAAUACGUGCUCACCUGAUGCAUGUACACACUUAUACACAUACUUUGACACAGCAUGAGGGUCAUUAGACUACUGAGGCUGGUUGGUUCCUCCUCUGAGUUCCCUGUGCUCUAAUGGUCAAACUGAGUGUCACGCGAAGGUAAAACACACAAACACACACACACACACACACACACACACACACACACACACAUACACACACACACACACACACACACACACAUACACACACACACACACACACACACACCACAUAUAGUGUCUCUGCUAUCCAACACUGCAGUGAGGUGAUUGCAGUGAGAGCAAUGACACUUCACAUUGAUGGUCUAAUUAUUUAAGAGGAAACUACACUGUGUGCUACUUGUCUAUAAACUGGAGUUUAUCACUGAAGGAUGUGGUGGGGAUAUAAAAAAAAAGAUGAUACAAAUUCACACUCAUAUACACAGAGGUCUUCAUUGUGUUCAAGUGUGUAUUUAUAUAUGUAACUACUGUAUAUCCCAGGAGGUCCAUGUGUAUAAACACACAUACAUAUGCAUUUAUAAUUAGAUCAUUAUUGGAUGCAUGUAAUCAGGGGGGAAGAGCAAGAGAGAUGGGGAAUGAGAGAGUGGGAUAUACUGUCAAGGGUCAAUGAAAGUAAGGGGAGGGGAAAAGAGCCUGAGGAAGAGAGAAUGAGGAGGAGGGUGUGUGUGGUGCAAGCUCUAUAGGGUGUGCAUUAUGGACUGAGAGAGUGAGAAAGCCAGGCAAUUGGAGGAUGAGAGGGGGAAUGCAGUGAGGAUAGGUCAGUGAUACAGAUCAUCAGAUAACCAUUUAUCUCCUCUGGACCAUAUUAGCUACACAUCAGAGUGUUCAAGCCUAUUUAGGACAGUGAUGAGAGAACCGAGGAGCCCUGCAGUGGACAAACUUUCCUGCUUGUGUGUUGGGGGGACAGACAGAGAGAUGGGAAGAGGGAGAGAGUGUUAGAGUGUGAAGCAGAAUGAGAAAGAGACAGAAAGAAAGAAAGACACAUAGCAAGAAAUAGGAAAAAAGGAGGAAAGAGAUUGCAGAGGCCGGAGUAGAAGAGCGGAAGAGCCAAGACACUCUCUUCCUUCCUGUUUGGUGCAUUGGCCCAUUAGAAACUGAACCUGUGGGACUUAAUCUGAUGGCUACCCACUAGAUUCUGACUGUGGAUGUGAGCUCCAGCACUACUGUCCCCCUCAUCACAGAAUGCUUUGCUAAAGCUGGUAAAAUGGAACCAAAUCAACUGUUCUAUGGAUUUGGUCCCCUUCAACCAGCUGUAGCUGUGCAUUGAUCACCCCAGAGUGCAGUAAGAUAGACAAAGAAGAUCUGGGAGCACACAAACACAUACUAACACUCUACAGGAUUCACCUUACAACUAUAUACCAUAUCAGACAGGAUCUGAGCAUCAUAUGGAUUUCCUGAUCCAGCUAGAACACCAACCUGAUGCAUUUCACCCCACACUUUAUGAUCUCUAAUAACAUGAUUAAAUACUGUGAGGUUACUAAAACCCAGGUGAACAUUAGCCAUGUCAUGCUGUUCAACUCUUUAUGACUGAUAAUAUCUGAUUAUGAAUCCAGUCCUGACUGCAGUCAGUGGAAUAGGGGUUUGCUGAGUUUUAUGGCUGCCCAUUGAUUUCUUGUCUUGCUGGUGAAAGAGAGAGAUGUGGAGGGACAGGACAGGAGAGAGGAAUGCACGUCAGGCUGCUGAAUAAGUAAAGCAAUCGUUCCUUUUUUCCUGUUUUUUUUUUUCCCUUCACAUUCGUCGUGAUCCUUAAUGCUUGUUUCUGAUCAAUAAAAGCUCAUCCUGAGGUCCAUAAAUGCUAAAGUGGGUGUUUUUUUUUUAAUGCCAGCUUCUUGGUGGAAGGAGGAAGGUCAAAGUGAAGGGAAAUUGUGAGGAAGAAAAGGAAAAGAAGGGAAGAUGGAUGUUUGUAUGGAGGACAGGAGCUGGCAGAUGACAUGACAGUGCUUUUGAAUAGUGAAAAAGAGAAUGGGUAACAUGAUGCCUCACACUAUCCUAUAUUCUAGCAUAGGCUUGUUACAGGAAUUGAAUAUUAGAUACAUUUCUAGUAUUCAAAUAACUAAUUAAAACAGCACCAACCAAAUAUCAAGCAAAAUUCAACUUCUAAUCCUUAUUAUUAUUGAAGCCUUAAGCAUUUGUAACAGUAAGGAAUUUUAAGUCAUGACAUCCCAAGGCCUCUAUUUUCACACAGCAUAAUUUGCUGGUAUAACAGCAGGACAUAAUAUAUUUAGUUGGGCAGGAACUCUCUCUCUCUCUCUCUCUCUCUCUCUCUCUCUCUCUCUCUCUCUCUCUCUCUCUCUCUCUCUCUUUCAAGUUCUGCCCAGAAAUGAAUAUGGCUAUGCAGACUAUAUUGGGCAGCAUGAACAGUUGAAAUCUGCUGGUGAAGUGGGAUUUUCAAACUUACUUUGGUCCAGAACUGCUGGAAUUUCUGACUUAUAGCUCACAACCCAGUUUUGUGGCUGUACUCUGCUUCUAUCAACCUACAUUAAUGUAAAUAGGGUUCUUCAACCAACUAUUAAAUACUACUGAAUGGAUUAUUUUAAAGUGAUAAAUAAAAACAAACAACUGAGUUGUUGCUACUAAAUGUGAAUCAAACAGGUGUCCCCUUAUUGCACAUGGAACAUCAUAUAAUGAAUAGAUUUAAAAGAAUUACAUAACUAAGAGGUGGGGGAUUAGGGAGGUGAGGGAUUAGUCAAUCUAGAACUUUGUGAAAAGGCAGCUCUGCCUCAGAGGCAGGAGGAAAUUAAUUGGUUCAAACAGCCAGUUGGUGGAGUUUACUUUUCAAAACUUUGCAUUAAUUCCCUAGCUAGUUACAGUACUGCUCUUUGUUAGCUUGGCCUAUGACUUUUGAUUUUGCCUGUAUAAAAGGGGUUCCUAUUUAUAUGAUGUUGGCAAAAAUUAUUUUCCAUUUUCUGUUAGUGGUGUUAAAUUAGAAAACUGUUCAGAAAGCUGAUGUGGCCGCACAAGGGUAUAAACAAAGAGUAUAAACAAAAAGGACUGGAACAAUGACAGAACAUAAAAUAACCAAAAAAAAUAAGGAACACCACACCUCAAUAUGUUGACUAUGCCACCCAGGUAGCAGGCCCCUGGGGUGGCGUAGUCGACAUAGGCUUAAUCUAACAGCCACAGAACUCACAGGUUCGUUACAGUUAGAAAUAGGUAUAAGACAUAAGUAGAGUACAAAACAUUUUUAUUUACAGCAUCACCAGUUCUCGCUACACACAGAAGAAAAUGAAAACAAAAAGGCACAAAAAAACACAUACAACUUACACACGUACCACACCAGACUUGGGUCAGCACUCAUAAUCACCCACGACAAGGGUCACCUGUAAUCUCCUACUCAAAAGCACACCGCAACCACCUCUGAAUAUUCAACUGACACAGCACCCCAAAAUUGAGCACAGCAGUCAGUGAAGGAUACCACCACUAGAGGAGAGGAGAAAGCGCGGAGCUCGCUGACUUCGGCUGGCCAAUUCUGAAAAAAAUAAUAAUAAUACAAACAGUAUAAACCACUAGAACACACAAACAUCCAAGGAAACACACACUCUCCAAAAUGUUCCUCCUAAAAGUAGACCACAUUAUACAAAAAUGCACAUGGUCACAAGAAGACAAACAAAAAACAUAACCAAACAACCAGGCCCGUAAGCCAAAGUAGGCCGAUGUGCUGUGUGGCGGUAAUGGGCCGUAGUUAACACACUCAACAAACAAUUGCACCUAAAUUGCAACGAUAAAGAAAAUAUUCAAAACAAAUUCAAUCACAAAAGAAAAACAAUAAUAAAGAUAACACAAGAAAAAAAGACACCAAAUACAAAUAAAAUCAAAAAUAGCACAAGCUGCGACUGCUAAGCAAACAUGUACAUUUGUACAUUGUACAUGCACACUGCAUCAACACCAUCUGAAAAACAUAACAUGGAAACUACCAUGCAGCGAGCCGAAUUACCAACCCAGCCAAGUGAUAGAGACGGUCCAAUGAUAAGCCACGGCUGGUCAAACAAACCAAAUCAUUUCCAUAGUAAAUUCUAGAAAAAUGAGUAGAUGUAGCCAAUCUGGUAGACAAAUCCGUCAGCCCAGUCCGACAGCCCACCGCAACGUCCCUCUGCGUAUAAAAACCCCUUAAAUGGUAAGUGGCAUCACACGGGGAUCCUCAUCAUGGAGGGAAAGCACCUGGAAAUGUGCUUUAAUAAAGAAAGGUACACCGCGAGGCUCCUCAGUCAACUCUCAGGCACUCACACACCACGCCGGAAUUGCAGUGACGGAAAAGACGACGCCCAGAAUGACACACUUCCAUAUAACCCGCACGUUACUUUUAUAACCUGCAUGAACAGGAUUUAAUAAGCCACACCCUGCCCCCUGACUAGCUCGUACUUAGGCAAAGUAAACCCCAUCUGCAACACUACUAAUACACUAUAAUAAGGCACAUAUGCCAUAAACUCUUUUGAUUAUUAACAUUACCUUUUUAGUUAGCUGGCAACAAUGUUAUCUAACAACUUUUUGGAUAUCUAGCAUGCUUGUUGCAUAAAUGUUUAAAUAAAGUGUAAAUCUAUGAAAUAUUGGAAUGACACACUGCCUCUAAAGUUUUUUUUUUUAAGCUCUGCCCAUGGGUUGUUAAGCAAAAAAAUUUCAUUCUGCCGCUGAGGCAGAGCUGCCUUCAUAAUGAUUGGCGAUUUUACCAGUUGAUCUGUAUAAUAGAGUGCUCAUAUAUUAUUGAACACGAGAAAGUGCAACAACAACUUAGACAAUGCAUUAGUUAUAGUUUAUGGCAAACAGCAAGUUAUUAUUAUUCUUUUGUUAUUAUUAUUAUUUCUUUACUAACGUAUUAACUUGAAAUCUGUGAUCAAAGCUUCAUUAUAAAUUCCAAAAAAGGGUACUAUGCUGAUCCACAAGUAACCAUGUUAAGCAGCUCUCACUGAGUAUCUCAGUAGCUCGAUAAUAUAUUAAAACAAAACCCAACUUUUGUAAAAUUACACCACUCUGGGCCACAAUGCCACCUGUGCUGGCAAUCAAAAAAAUACAUAAUGUAUGUGCCAUAACUUCAUGUCCAAAAUCAUGAUCUUGUGUCUGGUUUUCCCAUUUGCAUUGUGAUCACAAAAAUGCGUUACACCAGCUCCACCUCAUCAUUCACUUGUUUCAGCCUCAACCUAACCUCUGCUGUCAGCCUUGUUAUGUGGUGUGGUAAUGGUCACAGACGUUCGAUGUGUGUGUGUGCGUGUGUGUGUGUGUGUGUGUGUGUGUGUGUGUGUGUGUUAAAGGAAAACAGAGCAGAACCAUUUCCCCUGUGUAAAACAUUUAAAUCUGUUAUUUGUCUUUUACUGGCUGAUAAAAGAUCCCAUUACAAAAUUACUGUGGUGAGUCCUGCUCUCUCUUUCUCGCACGCGUGCACACACACACACACACACACACACACACACACACACACACAAAUAAACAAUAAACCAACACACACCCAGAUAUAAAUGGGUAUAUAUUUUUUUUACAUAGUGCAGUAUUACCUGUACUGUAAAUGAAGUAUUGUACUGCAAACUGUGCAAAUGCAAGCUAAUUGAGACAUGUGAAUUGUUAAGAAUUUACAAGACUGACCAUAAAUUACAAUCACACACUCACACACACACACACACACACACACACACACACACACAGUAUUGUAACUCAGCCAUAAUAAAAUAUGAUAAGUCUGUCCUUUGCUGGAAAUGGAUUUACAUUGCAGAUGACAUUGGGGGAAAGGAAGCAGUGUUGCCAAGCCACAUAAAACAAUGACAGACAUUUUAAUAUUGAGAUUGAGAGGAAAGCCGGCUGCUGUGUCUUGUGUCAAAUAGGACACCAGAUGGACUGGACACAUUUUACUCAGACUGCAUUGAUGUUUGAUCAUAUUUAUCACCUUCUGCAUGACACAGACCAGUAAAGCACAAGGUUACACACCACAUCUACACACAAAAAAAUUAAAUGUUGGAUUUACUUAACUUUGUUAUGUCAACAGAUUCCAUGUUACUGGGUUAAUUUGCAUAUUGCUGGGUUAAUUUGCUGGGUUAUAAAUAAAUAACUGGGUUAAUUUGCAUCAUGUUGUUUAGUUAAAUCCAUUUGACUUAAUUUUGUUCAAAACUAUUUGGUAAAUUAAGUUCAAUUAUCCUAUUUUUAAAUAAUUUUUAGAUAGUUUUUUUUAUUAUUUAUUUAUUGUUCAACAAUCAAAACUUCAAAGUACAUCCCCACAAUAUUCAAUAGUCACCUUUGCAAUUUCAUAUUCAGCCACUAGUCAUUAUGUCACCAGCGAAUCCAUUUCCUGGAAUGCACCACCAACUACAAACAUGGCCAAAGACGACUACACUUCCUACUCACACACACACACACACACACACACACACACACA
ensembl:lncRNA